CUGAGUUCCCAGCACCCAAUCAUCACUGCAGCAAGUCAGUCUCCUUUAAGCCUGGAUGACAAGAGAAGAGGUCCAAAUCUAAGGAUUUCACUUACUCCCUCCUCUGCAGACCAUGCAGGUUUGGGUUUUCUCUUAGGAGGAUGUCAAGGUCUGAAAUGAUCUCAAACAUCUGUCAUAUAAACAGGAAGAGAUUUAUUAUCUUCUGCCAAAGGACUAUGAUAACAGAAAUAUUAAAUGUGUCAACAGAGGACACCUGAGGAAUUGAUCCUUGAUUGAAUCUUCCUGUUAAAGAGACUUCCGGAGCGGGGCAUCUCCGAACUGAGAUGGUCUGCAUUCACCAACUCUUCUCUUCUGCGACCACAUGCAUCCCAAGUGGGUAGCACCUGGGAUAUUUGCAAGCUGUGCCUUGAAAACAAAAGCCCUCCACUACAUUGUUGCCAUGCAUGUUGCAUUGUUGCCUAUUCUGUACUCUUUCUUAAAGCUAAGCAAAUGUG